AAAGAAACUCGGGCAGUCGCUCCGGUUGCGUAUGUGCGGGACCGGAGAGGAAAGUCCGGGCACCAGAGAACAGGAUACCCUGUGUCAAACAGGGGUUCCGCCCGACGGAAACGGAUAGUGCCGCAGAGAACAGUCCGCCCUGUCCGGUAUGUACUGCCGGAUGGAGUGAGAAGUGAAAAGGUGGAGUAAGAGCCCACCGUCCGACCGGGUAACCGGAGGAGCAGGCAAACCCUGUCCGGUGCAAGACCAAGCAGGAAGAAUCCGCCAUGUACAUUGUGCGGAGAAGGCUGUUCGUCUUUAUUUCUUCCGGGUAGGUCGCGCAGAUAAAUGACUGCUGUCCCUGAGCAUUGCUUGAAGGGAACACAGAACCCGGCUUACAGAGUUUCUUUCCCA
rnacentral:RNase_P_RNA from 1 species